UGGUAGAUAAGAGUGAGUUGGAUUGGAAACUCAUCAUAUAAAUAUUAUAAAAUAAUUAUAAUUUUGAAAAAAAAAUUUAUAUUAAAAUUAUAUCGAAUCAAAUUUGGAGCAGGGAAUAUCAUUAUCUAUGUCUAACCCAAAUCUGCUUCGAAUAUUUUUGUUAGAAUUCAUAUCUAUUCUGAGUUCUAAUUAGGUUGAAUAAAAUCCAUUCCAUUUGAUUCGGAUC
rnacentral:lncRNA from 1 species